CCUACGGGGGGCUGCAGUGAGGAAUAUUGGUCAAUGGACGAGAGUCUGAACCAGCCAAGUAGCGUGAAGGAUGACUGCCCUAUGGGUUGUAAACUUCUUUUAUAUGGGAAUAAAACGUUCCACGUGUGGGAUUUUGUAUGUAACAUAUGAAUAAGGAUCGGCUAACUCCGUGCCAGCAGCCGCGGUAAUACGGAGGAUCCGAGCGUUAUCCGGAUUUAUUGGGUUUAAAGGGAGCGUAGGUGGAUUGUUAAGUCAGUUGUGAAAGUUUGCGGCUCAACCGUAAAAUUGCAGUUGAAACUGGCAGUCUUGAGUACAGUAGAGGUGGGCGGAAUUCGUGGUGUAGCGGUGAAAUGCUUAGAUAUCACGAAGAACUCCGAUUGCGAAGGCAGUUCACUGGACUGCAACUGACACUGAGGCUCGAAAGUGUGGGUAUCAAACAGGAUUAGAUACCCUUGUAGUC
rnacentral:rRNA from 1 species